AUGAACGCUGACGGAGUGCCUAAUACAUGCAAGUCGAGCGAACAGACGAGGAGCUUAAACCUCUGACGUUACCGGCGGACGAGUCACUCACACGAGGAUAACCUACCUAUAAGACUGGGAUAACUUCGGGAAACCGGAGCUAAUACCGGAUAAUAUAUUGAACCGCAUGGUUCAAUAGUGAAAGACGGUUUUGCUGUCACUUAUAGAUGGAUCCGCGCCGCAUUAGCUAGUUGGUAAGGUAACGGCUUACCAAGGCAACGAUGCGUAGCCGACCUGAGAGGGUGAUCGGCCACACUGGAACUGAGACACGGUCCAGACCCCUACGGGAGGCAGCAGUAGGGAAUCUUCCGCAAUGGUCGAAAGCCUGACGGAGCAACGCCGCGUGAGUGAUGAAGGUCUUCGGAUCGUAAAACUCUGUUAUUAGGGAAUAACAAAUGUGUAAGUAACUAUGCACGUCUUGACGGUACCUAAUCAGAAAGCCACGGCUAACUACGUG
rnacentral:rRNA from 1 species